rnacentral:rRNA from 1 species
AGCUUGCGGGCCCAUUAGCUUGUUGGUGGGGUAACGGCCUACCAAGGCAACGAUGGGUAGCUGGUCUGAGAGGACAAUCAGCCACACUGGAACUGGACACAGCCCGAUCCUACGGAAGGCAGCAUGGGGAAUCUUGCGCAUGCCGAAGCGUGACGCAGCACGCCGCUGGGGAAGACGGCUCGGUGUAACCUUCAGGAGGGACGAAGGUCGACGGUGAAUAGCCGUGCGGAUUGACGGUACCUCCAGAAGAAGCUCCGGCUAACUACGUGCCAGCAGCCGCGGUAAUACGUAGGGGGCAAGCGUUGUCCGGAAUCAUUGGGCGUAAAGCGCGCGUAGGCGGCCCUGUAAGUCCGUUGUGAAAGUCAAAGGCUCAACCUUUGAAUGCCGAUGGAUACUGCAGGGCUAGAGUCCGGAAGAGGCGAGUGGAAUUCCUGGUGUAGCGGUGGAAUGCGCAGAUAUCAGGAGGAACACCAAUAGCGAAGGCAGCUCGCUGGGACGGUACUGACGCUAAGGCGCGAAAGCGUGGGGAGCGAACAGGAUUAGAUACCCUGGUAGUCCACGCCGUAAACGAUGGGCACUAGGUGUGGGAGGUGUCGACUCCUCCCGUGCCGUCGCUAACGCAAUAAGUGCCCCGCCUGGCGAGUACGGCCGCAAGGCUAAAACUCAAAGGAAUUGACAGGGGCCCGCACAAACAGCGGAGCAUGCGGCCUAACUCGACGCAACGCGAAGAAACUUACCUGGGCUUGACACGUAGGUGACCGACAUACAAAUAUGUUUCCCUUCACGACACCUUACAGCCGCUGCAUGGCUGUCGUCAGCUCGUGUCGUGAGAUGUUGGGUUAAGUCCCGCAACGAGCGCAACCCCCGUUCCAUGUUGCCAGCAUUAAGUUGGGGACUCAUGGGAGACUGCCGGUGACAAACCGGAGGAAGGUGGGGAUGACGUCAAGUCAUCAUGCCCCUUAUGUCCAGGGCUACACACGUGCUACAUUGGCGCAUACAAAGGGUUGCAAUACCGUGAGGUGGAGCGAAUCCCAGAAAGUGCGUCUCGGUUCGGAUUGGAGGCUGAAACUCGCCUCCAUGAAGGUGGAGUUGCUAGUAAUCGCAGAUCAGCAAUGCUGCGGUGAAUACGUUCCCGGGCCUUGUACACACCGCCCGUCACACCACGAAAGCAGGCAACACCCGAAGCCGGUGGCCUAACCUUUUGGAGGGAGCCGUCGAAGGUGGGGCUUGUGAUUGGGGUGAAGUCGUAACAAGGUAACC